rnacentral:rRNA from 1 species
UAGUGAGUUUGAUCCUGGCUCAGGAUGAACGCUGGCGGUCUGCUUAACACAUGCAAGUCGAACGGAGUACUUUCGGGUACUUAGUGGUGGACGGGUGAGUAACGCGUGAGAAUCUGCCCAUAGGAUAGGGACAACAGUUGGAAACGACUGCUAAUACCUGAUGUGCCGAGAGGUGAAACUUUUAUGCUGUGGAUGAGCUCGCGUCUGAUUAGCUAGUUGGUGGGG